CAACAGGAGUGCUCACUCAGGCCCAUGGUCCUGGAGGCCGCCAAAGGCCUAUUGGAUUUUUCUCCUGCCAACUGGAUAUUGUGGCCAGAGGAAGUCCCUCUUGCCUUCGGGCCGUCUUUGCUGCCAGAGAGCUCAUUGAAAGAACUGGAGAUCUUGUCCUUGGCCACCCCCUGGUUGUCUUGGCCCCCCAUGACAUUUCUGCCAUAGUCAACCAGGUCCAACUUAAGCAUGUUACACCUGC